rnacentral:rRNA from 1 species
AACGAACGCUGGCGGCAUGCCUAACACAUGCAAGUCGAACGAGACCUUCGGGUCUAGUGGCGCACGGGUGCGUAACGCGUGGGAACCUGCCCUUAGGUUCGGAAUAACUCCCCGAAAGGGGUGCUAAUACCGGAUAAUGUCUUCGGACCAAAGAUUUAUCGCCUUUGGAUGGGCCCGCGUUGGAUUAGCUAGUUGGUAGGGUAAAAGCCUACCACGGCGACGAUCCAUAGCUGGUCUGAGAGGAUGAUCAGCCACACUGGGACUGAGACACGGCCCAGACUCCUACGGGAGGCAGCAGUGGGGAAUAGUGGACAAUGGGCGAAAGCCUGAUCCAGCAAUGACGCGUGAGUGAUGAAGGCCUUAGGGUUGUAAAGCUCUUUUAACCGGGAUGAUAAUGACAGUACCGGGAGAAUAAGCUCCGGCUAACUCCGUG